rnacentral:lncRNA from 1 species
GAACCUUCCAGAACAGCCACACCCUCCUUGCUGCCUGUCACGAUCUCAUUAUUCUCCAAUGACCCAUUCGCCAUCCCAGUAACGGCAGAAGCCAAAAUCGCAUGAACACCAGGCAAUUUGCAGACCACAGCUUUGCCGUCUUUAUCAUCCAUCUCUCCUGGGGCAAAGCUGAGCUGGACUCCGAGGUUGGAAGGCGCUCAGCGAGGAGGAGAGAAUGGGAAGAAGACAGGCUGGCCUCGCAGGAGGGAGGAGGAAACUGAGACACAGAGAAAUGAGGACGUGCCUCAGACCAUUGCUCUCUCAUGGGACCUGGAGUAGACUGGUUAUGGAUUAUUUGCAUCAACAGGCGCCUUGCCGGACUGAGAUUACGGGUACCUGUGAUCCAUCUACUGGGCUUGCUGACGCUUCUCUACAACAGUCUUGCUGCUCAGGUCUGAUGUUUAUUUUCAAACAACAGGAUGAUGCCAGCUUGCUAGUUCGUUUCUGUCCUGCUGAAUGGUUGAAUGGUUUUCCAUACCUCGCACCAAAUUUUGGCAAAUUGAAUAUGGUUGACUAGAACGAUAUACCUCUGAAUAUUAAAAGUAACUCUGAAGUUGUGGCUCCUUGUUUUUCAUAACUGAGACAGUGUUGGGAAGUUAGGACAACACACCCUGGAGGCAAACUGCCCAGAUGACCACUCAGGGCUGCGUGGCCGGGGCCUCUCCUCAGCCCACUGUGCCUUGGUUUCCUCAUCAGUAAGAAGAACAGAGG